GCGAUGAUGGCGAGCGAAAUCUGAGAGAGGGGAUAAAAGGGAACGAAAAUAUAUGUAUUUAUACAAUUUUCUCUUGUUUUAUAUUAACACAAACACAUUUUAUACAUUUGCGUUUGUAUAAAAAAUGAGAGAGACGAGCGAGACUGACACCAAACGAGAGCGGGAAACGAGAUUCCACCAAGGAGAGUGGCAAAAAUAGCUAUAAUUUGCUAUAAAUUAAAGCAUAUUUAUAGCAUUUAAUUUAAAUUAAUAAUUUACUAUUAUAUACAAUUUUUCCUAAAUAUAACCAAUUUUCAAAUAUCAGAUUAGAGGUCACGUCACUUACCACACCAGUCCCUCCAAAUUACAACCCAACCCAACUAAAUUAACCCGCCCCAAAAUUGACCCGACCCACUUCCCUUUUAACCCAAAACCAGUCAGUCCCUCUGUCUUCUGCACUGUUCCGGCGAAGAGCUUCUAGCUCCGGUGAACCGGAGCAACUAGCAACGUGGAUCUUGUUCUUUUCAGGCUGACAGUACAAUCGAAUCCAUGGCAUCUUCUUCCUCUUUUGCGAGUAAUUCACAAUACUGUCCUCGAUGGAAGUACGAUGUCUUUUUAAGUUUUAGAGGUGAGGAUACUCGAAAAACAUUUACGGGUCAUUUGUACGAAGGUUUGAAAAAUAGGGGAAUAUUCACCUUUCAAGAUGAUAAAAGGCUAGAGCAUGGAGAUUCCAUCCCAAAAGAACUCUUGAAAGCUAUCAAAGAUUCUCAAGUUGCACUCGUCGUUUUCUCAAGGAAUUAUGCUACAUCGAGGUGGUGCUUGAAUGAACUAGAGAAGAUCAUGGAAUGCAAGGAGGAAAAAAAUGGACAAAUAGUUGUACCAAUCUUCUAUGAUGUGGAUCCAUCACAUGUUCGAUACCAAAGCGAGAGCUUUGCAGAAGCAUUUGUCAAACAUGAAGUAAGGUAUAAGGGUGACGGUGAUGAGGGGAUGCAGAAGGUGCAAGGAUGGAGGAAUGCCCUAACUGCUGCCGCAGAUCUAAAAGGAUAUGAUAUCCGUGACGGGAUCGAAGCAGAGUAUAUUCAACAGAUCGUUGAUCACAUCUCUUCCAAAUUAUGCAAGAGUGCUUAUUCUUUAUCUUCGUUACAAGAUGUUGUGGGAAUAAAUGCUCAUUUAGAGAAACUAGAAUCCCUACUUCAGAUAGAAGUCAAUGAUGUUCGGAUCGUAGGGAUUUGGGGAAUAGGUGGAGUUGGUAAGACGACUAUAGCAAAAGCCAUCUUUGAUACUCUAUCUUGUCAAUUUAAAGCUUCUUGUUUUCUAGCAGAUGUUAAAGAAAAUGCAAAUUAUAAUCAACUGCAUUCUUUACAAAAUUCCCUUCUCUCUGAACUGUUAAGAAAGAAAGAUGAUUACGUCAAUAAUAAGUAUGAUGGAAAGUACAUGAUUCAGAGUAGACUUUGUUCUAUGAAGGUGCUAAUUGUGCUUGAUGACAUAGAUCAUGGUGAUCAUUUGGAGUAUUUAGCAGGUGAUGUUGGUUGGUUUGGUAAUGGCAGCAGAAUUGUUGUAACGACUAGAAAUAAACAUUUGAUAGAGAAGGAUGAUCCAAUAUACGAAGUGUCUACACUAUGUGAUCAAGAAGCUAUUCAAUUGUUCAAUCGACAUGCUUUCAGAAAAGAAAUUCCAGAUGAACGUUUUAUGAAGUUCUCGUUGGAGGUAGUAAAUCAUGCUAAAGGCCUUCCUUUAGCCCUCAAGGUGUGGGGUUCUUUGUUGCAUAAUAAAGGCCUAACUCAAUGGACUAGAACUGUUGACCAAAUAAAGAAAAACUCCAGUUUAGAAAUUGUUAAAAAGCUCAAAGUAAGUUAUGAUGGUUUAGAGCUUGAAGAGCAAAAGAUAUUUCUAGAUAUAGCAUGUCUCUUACGAGGAAAAAGAAAAAAACUAGUCAUGCAAAUCCUUGAGAGCUGUGGUUUUGGAGCUGAACAUGGAUUGGAUGUCUUAAUUGACAAAUCUCUCGUGUUCAUUUCCAAAAAUAAUGAGAUUGAGAUGCAUGAUUUGAUUCAAGAUAUGGGUAGAUAUGUGGUAAAAAUGCAAAAAGAUUCGGGAGAACAAAGCAGACUCUGGGACGUUGAAGAUUUCGAAGAAGUGAUGGUCAACAAUACUGGGACCAAGGCAAUGGAAGCAAUCUGGACAUAUCAUGUUAAAAAGCUAUGCUUUACUAAAAAAGCCAUGAAAAACAUGAAAAGGCUUAGAUUAUUAUCCAUCUUCGGUUUUCAGGCCUGUGCUGACUCCAUUGAAUACCUGCCCAACAACUUGCGCUGGUUUGUCUGUCGUUGUUAUCCUUGGGAGUCAUUAUUAGAAAACUUUGAACCUAAAAAGCUUGUUUAUCUUGAUCUCCAGAGCAGUUCGCUGCGUCAAUUAUGGACUGGAGCAAAGCAUUUGCCGUCUUUGCGAGAGCUAGAUCUCAGCUACUCUAAAAGCCUGAUUGGAACACCAGAUUUCACGGGGAUGCCAAAUUUGGAGUAUUUGUAUCUGCUUAAAUGUAAGAAUCUUGAAGAGGUUCACCAUUCCGUGGGAAGUUGCAGAAAGCUCAUUCAUUUAUGUUUGACUUGUUGUAAACGCCUUAAGAGGUUUCCGUGUGUUAAUGUGGAAUCUAUUGAACGUCUUUAUCUAGAUGAGUGCUAUAGUUUAGAGAAAUUUCCAGAAAUCCUCGGAAGAAUGAAGUCAGAGUUAGAGAUCAAGAUAAACUGGUCUGGGCUAAGGGAAAUACCAUCAUCUAUUAUUCAGCAAUACUCAUGCCGUCUUACAAAGUUAACUUUGAGUUCUAUGCAAAACCUUGUAGCUCUUCCAAGCAGCAUUUGUAAGUUGAAAGGCUUGGUGAAGCUAAUUGUGUCCUGCUCAAAGCUUGAAAGCUUGCCAGAAGAGAUUGGUGAUUUAGAAAACUUGGAGGAGCUUGAUGCCAGCUAUACCCUAAUCUCACGACCUCCAUCUUCCAUCAUCUGCUUGAACAAGCUUAAAUUAUUGACUUUUUCCAAAAAAAAUUUACAAUACGGAGUGUCCUUUGUGUUCCCUGAGGUGAAUGAAGGGUUACACUCAUUGGAAGAUCUGGAUCUUAGGUACUGCAAUUUAAUAGAUGGAGGACUUCCGGAAGACAUUGGAUGCUUAUCCUCGUUGAAAAAAUUGUAUCUCAACGGAAAUAACUUUGAGUAUUUGCCUCAUAGCAUAGCCCAACUUAGUGCUCUUCAAUCGUUGGACUUGUCAGAUUGCUACAGGCUGAAAGAGUUUCCCGGUUUCAUGGGGAUGCUAAACUUGAAUACUUUGAAACUCAAUGGCUGCAAUUUAAUAGAUGGAGGACUUCCAGAAGACAUUGGAUGCUUAUCCUCUUUGAAAGAGUUGAAUCUCAGUGGAAAUAGUUUUGAGUAUUUGCCUCGAAGCAUAGCCCAGCUUGGUGCUCUUCGAUCCCUGGACUUAUCAGAUUGCAAGAGGCUUACACAGCUGCCAGAAUUUCCACAGCAGCUACAUACAGUCGAUGCAGAUUGGAGUAAUGAUUGGAUCUGUAAUUCGUUGUUUCAGACUAUUUCAUUAUUGCAGCAUGACAUCUCUGCUUCAGAUUCCUUGUCACUAAGAGUGUUUAUGAGUUGGGGGAAGAAUAUCCCAAGAUGGUUCCACCAUCAGGAAAAUGGUUUUAGUAUAUCACUCAAAUUGCCUGAAGAUUGGUAUGUAAGUAAUAACUUCUUGGGAUUUGCUGUUUGUUACUCUGGCAUAUUAGUUAAUGCCGAAGCUCACUUGAUUUGUUAUGAUGGGAGGUUGGUGACGCGUAUCAUCCAAAAAAUUGCCUUAUUCAACCAUUCAGAAUGUCCUGCAGGUUCUGCUAUUCAUUUUUUCUUGGUACCUCUUGCUGGCUUAUGGGAUACAUCUAAGGCAAAUGGAAGAACACCGAAUGACUAUGGGCGCAUUAGGUUAUAUUCCCCUGGAGAAAGGAAGAUGUUUGGACUUCGUUUGUUGUAUAAAGAUGAACCUAAGAUUGAGGCCAGUUGCUCCUCUUCUCAGAAAAAUGGUGAACCGACACCAAGAUAAAGCCAGUCUAUUCAGAAACUUUGCAGCUCUUUCCGACAAGCCCAGACUAUUAGCUUAAAUAUAGGCUUGUGUAGCUGCUGAGGAGUUAAUGCGGCAGUUGCCAUAGUUAACCAAGCAGGAGCAAGAGACUGAAGAUGUUGACAAAGUGAGUACUCCAGAUUUAAUUUAUAAAACUAAACUUGAAUAGCCAUCUCAUCCAAAAGAACUUACUCUCUUAUGCUAUCCAUCAGAAACUGAUGUUCAUCAUUUUACUUGCAAAACAACAUUUUAUGAGAUAAACAAGUUGGAAAGAAAAGAAAUAGAUGUAUUUUUUAAAAUCAAAGUGACAGCUUGUGGA